UACGGAGGAUCCAAGCGUUAUCCGGAUUCACUGGGCGUAAAGGGUGCGCAGGUGGGUUUGCAAGUUCGAUGUGAAAGCCCCGGGCUUAACCCGGGAAUGGCAUUGGAUACUGCAGAUCUGGAGGGUCGGAGGGGGACUGGAAUUCUUGGUGUAGCAGUGAAAUGCGUAGAUAUCGGAAGGAACGCCGGUGGCGAAAGCGAACGUGCUGGACCUCUUCUGACGCUGAGGCGCGAAAGCUAGGGGAGCGAACGGG
rnacentral:rRNA from 1 species